rnacentral:rRNA from 1 species
UGGGGAAUAUUGCACAAUGGGGGAAACCCUGAUGCAGCGACGCCGCGUGAACGAAGAAGGUAUUCGUAUCGUAAAGUUCUGUCCUAUGGGAAGAUAAUGACAGUACCAUAGAAGAAAGCUCCGGCCAAAUACGUGCCAGCAGCCGCGGUAAUACGUAUGGAGCGAGCGUUGUCCGGAAUUAUUGGGCGUAAAGGGUACGCAGGCGGUUUAAUAAGUCGAAUGUUAAAGAUCGGGGCUCAACCCCGCAAAGCAUUGGAAACGGAUAAACUUGAGUAGUGGAGAGGAAAGUGGAAUUCCUCGUGUAGUGGUGAAAUACGUAGAUAUUAGGAGGAAUACCAGUAGCGAAGGCGACUUUCUGGACACAAACUGACGCUGAGGUACGAAAGCGUGGGGAGCAAACAGG